AUUGAUUAGGAUGUGAAAAAGCUACCAGAUACAAGUUGUCAGCAAGUUAUGGCUGACUAACCACCCUGCCUUACAUCACUCUGGGCUAAUACUGUAAAAAGCAAUCAUUAGUUUUCUUUGUAAUAUCAGAUCAUUUGUUUUGAUAAAUACAUAGGUCAGUAUCAGGGUUCAUAUGAGCUAUUUUAGCAGUAAUUUUACACCUCCACUAUGAUAGUAUUUAGCUGUUCUUUCUCUUCAAGUAUUCCUUUUCUCCAAGGAAGGAGAAAAGGUAUGUAUCAGGUUGCUGGGAAGAAAGAUGGAGGUGGAAAGGAUGUGCAAGCUAUGGGACAAAGUUGCUGAGACCAGGUUAAACAGAUGUGACGAUCAGUGAGCAGGAGUGUGGCUUCGUGCUGAAAAGAGCACAACAGAUUCUCUGGAGAGAAGGUGAAGGAAAGUCAGCUGAAGCAAGACAGUUUGUGGAGUUUGCGUUGGACUGUAUGUUAUGCUGGGAGCCUGGGGAUUAGUGGACUUUGAUUCCAAGUUAAUACUAGCUAGUGUUUGUCACUGGUUUUUGGGCGGUGGAGUAAAAAGGAUUGGUUGCUGGCUGUUUGUAAUGUUAGCCUUUUCUUUGUUUUCUUACAGGCAGGGUAAAGACAUGGUGAUAAAUGAGUGUGUGGGCCAUCUGCUGAGCACCAAGAACUCAGGACACUCAGACGGGGGCAUCGCAGCAGGAGUCACCGUGCUCCACAAUCCUCUGCUGCUCUGAGAUGUCACACUCCUCCCUGCACAUACAAACCACAGUGAAGUCAAAGUUCCACCUGCACCUCCACCUGUUCUUCCAACAGCAUGAACACUGACAGAGGAGGAAGGUGGAGGAGCAGCUCCAGCAGAGCAACACCAGAGGUGUGUGGAGAGGACCGAACGCCAUCACUGGACAGAGCACUGUGAGCGGAGGGGGUCCAGAGUCUGGAGACCAGGUUCUGGCUAACAGAUUGAACCAGUUUUUUAACAGGUUUGAUUCAGUAGCCCUUCCCUCCCCCAUCCACCAGAGCUCGUCACACCUCUCUGCAACCCCCCACAGCACCGGGGACAUGAAAUGCACUUCACCUGUCCCCCUUUUCCUUUUCCUUCAACGACCCUACUGGGUCUGAGUCGUCUCCACCUGCUACGGCAGCUGAGAUCCUUUGGGGUGAACAGGACACUCCUCAGGACAUUUUAUGACACUGUGGUGGCGUCUGCUAUUUUCUAUGCUGUGGUCUGCUGGAGUGGUGGAAUGGCAGAGAGGGACGGGGGGAAACUCAACAAGCUGGUCAGGAGGGCCAGCUGUGUCCUGGACUGUCUGCUGAAGUCCAUCGAGCAGGUUGGGGAGGAGAGGAUGUUGUCUAAGCUAACAUCCAUCAUGGACAACACCUCCCACCCCCUGCAUGAGACUGUAGGAGCACUGAGCAGCUCCUUCAGCAGUGGACUUAUACACCCACAGUGUAGGAAGGAGCGCUACCGCAGGUCAUUCUUACCAGCAGCUGUCAGACUCUAUAAUGCAGCUCAACAUUUCUUUGGUCAUCUUACUCACCAGCUUGUUAGUUUACUCUACAUUUUAUACAUAUCUCCGUACAAUUUUCUCAAUUUUUCUAUACAUAUUCUGUACAUUGUUACCUGUAUAUACGAACUUCGGUUGCUUACGUUCAUAGGACCACCCUGUGUCUUCCUUUUAUAUUUUAUUUUCCUUUUCUGUAAGAGCUCUGUAACACCAAAAUUUCUGAUCCGUGGGAUAAUAAAGGUUUAUUCUAUUC